UGAAGGCUAGAACAGGGACUGAAACUCUCAUUACAGACACCUGUAAGCUGCCAUGUGGGCACUGGGUUCCAGCUCAGGACUUUUGGAAGAACAGCUAGCUUUCAUAAAGUCUGAGCCAUCUUUCCAGCCACUAAAAGAGAAGUUUCUUUGAUGAGAUACCAGAAUUAUACUUACCAAUGGAUAUGAAGAUAAAUAUAUAGAAUACAUUUAGUAAUUAGUUUGGUUUAGUAAAUUGGCACUAACGGGUUCUAAUCUGAGACCCAUGACCUCACUAACUUUACGUAGUUGGCUGAAUUUCUAAUACUAGGCAUAAUUUUCCUCUUGUUUCGUGAGCUGUAAUCUUGAACAUCUUCUAUGACAGAAAAGGGAUAUUACAAAUCCAGUGUAAGAAUGAUAAGCAAGAUAGGCACAGGCAUAAUACAUUCUGUCAUUACCAUUGUAGAAGGGAAGCUGUCAGAAAACAGUUAACAGUGAGGUAAAUAAGAUCACAGUAGCUUCUUACAUUCUGAGAAAAAAAAAUGAACAGUCUUUCAUCUCAGAAAGUAACUGAGAGUGCCACACAGUCACUAAUGGGUGACGCUGCCUCCUCCCGUGGAGACUUUGCUUUGUAGCAAAAUGAUAUUUGAAGUGAGUUCUGAAGUUAAAAUAAGCUGACCCAGGACAAGCUCAUUUUAUCAUGCCUAAGUAUGUGGCUUGGAACUAAAUGAGUAAUGUACUGAGAUGGAAAGACCCAUGCUAAAUACAAGUGGUUUCAUUGCAUGGGCUGAUGUGCUAGACUGAAUGACAAAGCCAGUGUGAGCUGAAUGCAAAUGUUCCAUCACUCUGCUACUUGACUCUGAGUACAAUGGGACCAGCUGUUUCAUUCUCUUGCCACCCUGGCUUCCAUGCCAAGAUGGACUAGAUCUGUGACAUGUAAGCCAAAAUAAGCCAUGCCUCCUUUAAAAAAAAAAAAGUCUCAAUGAAUGUGGGCUUCUUCUUUGCUUCAUGGAAUGGUUUUAAGUGGGUUAGGGCUCUUCAAGUAGCUGUAAUUUCCGGGUAGAGGUCAGCUAUGUAUACAUGGAGAAUACUGAAAUUUUAUGUAGUUAAAAGAUAAAUUUGUAGAGUUCAGAACUCAAACUUAUUUUCAUUUUGCAAAUAAGUACAAUUCAAAUAUGUAAUGAAUUUUGCAAGAUUUCAACGAAUAUAGUAGUUUCUUCUGCUUAAAACUUUACUGAGAGGUUUUUCUUUUUUUUUUUUUUCUUUUUUUUUUUUUCAUUUAAAAAAAUAUGCUGUCGAUGGCAGCACAGCUUGUGGUAUUUGAGUUGCCAAUAAAACAUGCCCACAUUAUUAAACAUUUGCAGCAGCUGCAGUUGAGAGGAUUCUGUGUCUAUGUGCUUCCACCCAACAAUUCAAUUAUAUCUUCUCAACAGGAGUACCCUGUCCAAACAUUUACUGUCUGAAAUACAUUAUUACUAUGAAUUGCUUUCCUAAUAUUUUUCCCCAUAUUUUUUCUUUUAUGUUACAGGGGGUAAAUUAUGGUUUGAGACAAAAGAACAUGAACUGCCUUCUCUUGUUUCUUGGUUUAUUUUUACUAUAUCAUAAUGAAACUACAAAAUGAGAAUAUUUUUAAGGAAGAAUUUUGUGUGAUAAGGAACUUUGUGAUUCUAAAAUCUAUCAUGCCUCCAAAGAGAAGGAUAGUGGGACGUAUACACACUCUAGACAAAGGGAAGGGGAAAGAAAUGGGAGAAUCAGCUUCACUCCAGGCACUUGUGUGCCAGACCCUGUGCCCAGCAUUUCAAAUGCAUGUCCUCAUUUGUGUGCAUGUCACUAUGAAAUCAUUUGAAUAUUGUGGCCCUGGAGUGCCACAUUCCAAGUUGCUGCUUGGAACUUGUUGAGG
rnacentral:lncRNA from 1 species